rnacentral:misc_RNA from 1 species
UUUCCGUAGGUGAACCUGCGGAAGGAUCAUUCAUAAUAAGUGUUUUACUGCGCUUUUUAAAAAUAGUACUCACCUUGCGUGCAAUGUUGUGUUUCUUUUCGGAGAAACACCUACACCAACCUAUAACCUUGAACCACUUUGUCUGAAAAACUAUUAUGAAUACUUAAUUCAAAAUACAACUUUCAACAACGGAUCUCUUGGCUCUC